ACAGCCUGCAGGUCUAGAGACAUCCAUCCCUCCAGCACCCUCCAGUGAAACACAGCCUGCAGGUCUAGAGACAUCCAUCCCUCCAGCUCCCUCCAGUGAAACACAGCCUGCUGAAGAAACUACACCACUAAUGUCCAGUGAAUCUCCUGCACCAACCGGGGACCACCAAGAACACACUUCAAGAACAAGUACCCCUGAUGGUCAUGAUGAUGACCAGAGUCUGGGUCCUGAGGACGAUGUCAUCAGGAGAGACAUUAGCGCCUCCCAGUUUAUCCCCUCCUCCUCCCAGUCCACCUCCCAGUCCACCCCCUCCACCUCCCAGUCCAGCCCCUCCACCUCCCAGUCCACCUCCCAGUCCACCCCCUCCACCUCCCAGUCCAUCCCCUCCACCUCCCAGUCCAUCCCCUCCAUCUUCCCCUCAGCCCGCAGGUCUGGUGCUGGAGAGAGAGACAUCGAGAUGGGUCCAGGAUCAGACCCUAAGUAUCAACCGUGAUUCACUAUUGAAGGGGAAUGACAUUGCAGGAGACAAAGUUACACAGUUCUAGAAAUUCUGGAUCAACAUGAAAGUGAAUCUGAUGAUUCAAACUCAGAAACUAGAGGAGGAAAUACACCAGUCUGAUUCCUCCCUGAUGCCAGCUUUCACAGGAGAAGGGGAGUGGUGUGUUUAACAUCAUUAUUUGAUCAAUCCUCACAUUAUUCUUUUAUAUGUGGCUCACAGAGCAAAGAGAAGCGAGGUGUUGAUAAAUGUGAUGGGUAACGUUGGCUUGGGUCCAAGCUCCACCUCUCUUGAGCGACCACCAAGGAAGACAAUAUUUUCUUCAUGAUAUAUUUUUUUACAACGUUACGAACUAUUUUGUAAACGAUGACACGUACAUAUUUCACCCAUGCAAGUAUCUUUUCUUGUUGUUUUUCUGCUAACCUUUUAGUAACGUCACUUUUUUGAAGGCUUUUGACCGUAAUCAUUUAGGGAAUAAAAUGUGAAAUAACAAAUGCAAAACCUAUAAUGAAAAUAUCUCCCAAUGUACUGCACUGUAUUUCAAUGGGGUAACCUUAUUUACAUUUAAUGUCUUUUGUUUUUUUUAAGUAAUUCCUGUACUUUACUUUUUUUUUUUAAUCAGGACGCAUUUGGGGUGCUGGGAUUAGCAUUACAUGGCCUUCUUUCAUGUGUCAGUCAAACAUUGGUAGUAACAUAUUGUUUGUGAUCAAGUGGAGUCAGAGAGGGCUGGUUGUGGGGUAUUCUGUGAUGAGAGCACACUAAUAAAGGGUUGAACAUUG